rnacentral:lncRNA from 1 species
CCCAUGAUGUAGCUAAAGAGAUCACGAAUGAAGUGACCGCGAAGAAUGCUUUAAGAGAGAUAUAUAAACGAUUGAAAUAAAAAUUUGCAAAAUUUGCAGAAAGGAGCACCAUGUCGAAUGAGCUAGCUAAACAUGGUGUGUUCACGAUCACAUCAAAAUCCCAUCCUGCAAGAUUUUACCAUGAAACAAAAAACUUGCAUUAAAAAUUUAAGAGUGUAACGCUACUAAACUUCAGUAGAUUUUUCAUUUGAGAAAAAGCAGGAAACUAAAAAAACAAUGACGUACAGUAAUAUUGGUAUUACCGUCUCUUUCAAUAAUUGCUCCGCAAUUUGGACUCAAUAUGGAGGCACCUGUAUGAAAGGUAGCAAUAGGGUAAUUUUUACUCCAUUAUAUCAAUGGUGUUGAGACGAGUAAUCGAAGUUAAUUUAGGGGCAAUUUUUACCACAAAAAUUACUGAAGGACUAGAAAUUCUAGUCUUAAUAAAGAAAAAAAAAACAAAGAAUAUACCAGAAAAUGAGACGAGGGAAACGACAAAAGAUGAAGCCUUCAGCGCAGAAAACUCACAAAAUUCAUAUAUAACCGGUUCAUCCUCCAUCACGUUAUAACUCCGCUUCUUUCCCCUUUCCAUCUUCUGCCAUAAAAAAUAAGUAAAGUUUAAUACUUUUUUAAAAUUCGGAAUAAGAAAAUACUACUAUAAAUCAAGGUAAGAGUAUGAAUUAUUGAAGAUGGGAUUUUGAAUCUCCAUCUCACUUAGAAAAUUUCGUUAGAAAUAAGUGAAAUUGAGGUACUAAUGGAAUCAUUAACCACCAAAAAUAACUUACACAUAAUUAAAAAAGUGGAGAAAUUUGAAAUAUUUGCUAAAAAGUAGGGGCGUUGCUACAUACACCUGAGGGGUUCAACCGACCCCUGAACUUAAAAAAAUUGUACAUAUAUUCCUAUAUAUUUUAUACUUUGAACCCUCUGAAAUUUUACUUUUGCACCAUCAAAGAGAAGAAAAAGAUACUACCAGGAAUGCCGGCCAGAUUGCAUACCAUUUCUACACAGAAGCUUGAGCAACCGAAGAUGUCGUAAUUGAAGCGGAAGCCCGUGAUGUAGCUGAGAUCACGACCGAAGCAACUGCGAAGAAAGCUUUAAGAGAGAUAUAUAAACAAUCAUGUCGAGUGAGCUAGCUAAACAUGGUGCGUUCACGAUCAUAUCAAAAGUGUUCAUGUUCACCGACAAGCUACAAAUCCAAGCUUCCGCGUUGAAUCAGAAUCGAUUUUGGAUUUUUUUCUCCUUUUUCUCUUUCUUUCUUAUUCCUUCUCUGCCCUUAAUAGUUAAUACGCUGCCUUUCCCAAAUCCACCUUCACAUCACCCAGAUCCAUCACUCUAACCAACUACAUGUUGUUCUUCCUCUAAUUCCACAGCCACACAGAUAUGCGGCCACCACGAAAUGUUGAUGAUGAGGAAAAAGAGAGAUUAGAUGGAGAAAUUGGAGAAGAAUAUUGAAAUAUGGGGGAGGGAUAAAUGGUAGUAUUAAGAAUCAAGAUAUGGGGAGAUAAAUCAAAUACUGUAGAAAUGGUAGAAAACUCUGGAUAAAUGGAAGUAAGACAAUAGUUUG